GACAGAGGGGGCAAGCGUUGCUCGGAAUUACUGGGCGUAAAGGGCGCGUAGGCGGUCUGGCAAGUCGGUCGUGAAAUCCCUCGGCUCAACUGAGGAUCGUCGAUCGAUACUGCCGUUCUUGAGGAUUGCAGAGGAGACUGGAAUUCCCGGUGUAGCGGUGAAAUGUGUAGAGAUCGGGAGGAACACCGGUGGCGAAGGCGGGUCUCUGGGCAAUUCCUGACGCUGAGGCACGAAAGCGUGGGGAGCAAACAGG
rnacentral:rRNA from 1 species